rnacentral:rRNA from 1 species
UACGUAGGGGGCAAGCGUUAUUCGGAAUUAUUGGGCGUAAAGGGCGCGUAGGCGGUUUUUUAAGUCGGAUGUGCAAUCCCUGGGCUCAACCCAGGAACUGCAUCCGAGACUGGAAGGCUAGAGUACUGGAGAGGGUAGUGGAAUUCCCGGUGUAGUGGUGAAAUGCGUAGAUAUCGGGAGGAACACCAGUGGCGAAGGCGACUACCUGGCCUGUUCUUGACGCUGAGGCGCGAAAGCUAGGGGAGCAAACGGG